UACGAAGGGGGCAAGCGUUGUCCGGAAUCACUGGGCGUAAAGCGCGCGCAGGCGGUCAUCUACGUCUGGGGUGAAAGCCCGGAGCUCAACUCCGGGAUUGCCUUGGAUACGGGAUGACUUGAGGAUCGGAGAGGCAAGGGGAAUUCCACGUGUAGCGGUGAAAUGCGUAGAGAUGUGGAGGAACACCUGUGGCGAAGGCGCCUUGCUGGCCGAUUUCUGACGCUGAGGCGCGAAAGCGUGGGGAGCAAACAGG
rnacentral:rRNA from 1 species